rnacentral:rRNA from 1 species
GAUGAACGCUGGCGGCGUGCCUAAUACAUGCAAGUAGAACGCUGGAGGAAGGAGCUUGCUCUUUCCGGAUGAGUUGCGAACGGGUGAGUAACGCGUAGGUAACCUGCCUGGUAGCGGGGGAUAACUAUUGGAAACGAUAGCUAAUACCGCAUAACAGUAGAUGUUGCAUGAUAUCUACUUAAAAGGUGCAAUUGCACCACUACCAGAUGGACCUGCGUUGUAUUAGCUAGUUGGUGAGGUAACGGCUCACCAAGGCGACGAUACAUAGCCGACCUGAGAGGGUGAUCGGCCACACUGGGACUGAGACACGGCCCAGACUCCUACGGGAGGCAGCAGUAGGGAAUCUUCGGCAAUGGACGGAAGUCUGACCGAGCAACGCCGCGUGAGUGAAGAAGGUUUUCGGAUCGUAAAGCUCUGUUGUAAGAGAAGAACGAGUCUGAGAGUGGAAAGUUCACACUGUGACGGUAUCUUACCAGAAAGGGACGGCUAACUACGUG